rnacentral:rRNA from 1 species
CAAGUCGAACGGUAAAUAUUCAGCAAUGGAUAUGAGAGUGACGUACGGGUGCGUAACACGUAUGCAACCUACCCUUUACAGGAGGAUAGCUCGGGGAAACUCGGAUUAACCCGUCAUAAUAUAAUUGGAUGGCAUCAUUUGAUUAUUAAAUCUACGGAGGUAAAGGAUGGGCAUGCGUCUGAUUAGUUAGUUGGCGGUGUAACGGACUACCAAGACGAUGAUCAGUAGGGGAACUGAGAGGUUGAUCCCCCACACUGGCACUGAGAUACGGGCCAGACUCCUACGGGAGGCAGCAGUAGGGAAUAUUGGUCAAUGGAUGGAAGUCUGAACCAGCCAUGCCGCGUGCAGGAAGAAGGCCUUCUGGGUUGUAAACUGCUUUUGCCAGGGGCUAAAAAGCCCAUGCGUGGGAAAUUGAAAGUACCUGGUGAAUAAGCCACGGCUAACUACGUGCCAGCAGCCGCGGUAUACGUAGGUGGCAAGCGUUGUCCGGAUUUAUUGGGUUUAAAGGGUGCGUAGGCGGCUUUGUAAGUCAGUGGUGAAAUACGGUAGCUCAACUAUCGAGGUGCCAUUGAUACUGCGGAGCUUGAGUACAGAUGAGGUAGGCGGAAUUGACGGUGUAGCGGUGAAAUGCUUAGAUAUCGUCCAGAACACCUAUUGCGAAGGCAGCUUACUAGGCUGUAACUGACGCUGAGGCACGAAAGUGUGGGGAUCAAACAGGAUUAGAUACCCUGGUAGUCCCACUGUAAACGUUGAUUACUC